UACGGAGGGUGCAAGCGUUAAUCGGAAUAACUGGGCGUAAAGCGCACGCAGGCGGUUGGACAAGUCAGAUGUGAAAUCCCCGGGCUCAACCUGGGAACUGCAUUUGAAACUGUCAGACUAGAGUCUUGUAGAGGGGGGUAGAAUUCCAGGUGUAGCGGUGAAAUGCGUAAAGAUCUGGAGGAAUACCGGUGGCGAAGGCGGCCCCCUGGACAAAGACUGACGCUCAGGUGCGAAAGCGUGGGGAGCAAACAGG
rnacentral:rRNA from 1 species